rnacentral:rRNA from 1 species
GAUGAACGCUGGCGGCAUGCCUAAUACAUGCAAGUCGAACGAAGUUUCAAGGAAGCUUGCUUCCAAAGAGACUUAGUGGCGAACGGGUGAGUAACACGUAGGUAACCUGCCCAUGUGUCCGGGAUAACUGCUGGAAACGGUAGCUAAAACCGGAUAGGUAUACAGAGCGCAUGCUCAGUAUAUUAAAGCGCCCAUCAAGGCGUGAACAUGGAUGGACCUGCGGCGCAUUAGCUAGUUGGUGAGGUAACGGCCCACCAAGGCGAUGAUGCGUAGCCGGCCUGAGAGGGUAAACGGCCACAUUGGGACUGAGACACGGGCCCAGACUCCUACGGGAGGCAGCAGUAGGGAAUCAUUCACAAUGGGGGAAACCCUGAUGGUGCGACGCCGCGGUGGGGAA